AACAGCUGAAUCCUCCACAACAGCUACAACAACAGCAGAUCCUUCAACAACCACUACAACUAUUGCUGAAACAUCCACUACUACUGCAGGAGUUACCACGAUACCACCACAAUCUACAGUAACAACAACUGAAUCCUCCACAACAGCAGUUCCCUCAACAACCACUACAACUCUAACUGAAGCAUCCACUACUACUGCAGGAGUUACCACGACAGCACCACAAACUACUGUUACAACAGCAGAAUCCUCCACAACAGCUACAACAACAGCAGUUCCUUCAACAACCACUACCACUACAACUUUUGCUGAAUCAUCCACUACUACCGCAGGAGUUACCACAACAGCACCACAAAUUACUGUUACAACAGCAGAAUCCUCCACAACAGCUAGAACAACAGCAGCAACAUCUGAAACACCAGCAACUUCAUCGCCAACAGGUUCAGCCACAGUCUUUACAUCUAUUAUUGGUACAUCCACCAGUGGUACAGCAAUAACCGCAAUAGUGACACAAUCUAAAGUUACUACAGAGUCUACAGCAUCUAACACUUCUACAGAACCUGCAGUGUCUACAGCUGCUAUAGCUUCUACUGUAUCUACAGCUUCAACAGCAUCUACAGCAUCAACAGCAUCUACAACCUCUACAGCAUCUACAGCCUCUACAACAUCUACAACCUCUACAGCAUCUACAACCUCUACAGCAUCUACAACUUCCAAAGCAACUACUGCAAAAAUAAUACCUGAAGUGCUAACAGAUCUAGUGUUUAGCUCUUUUGAGACAUUUAUAGAUGCACUCAGUGAUGUCAACAGUGAGGAGUUUAAGAUUAGGUCUAAACUUGUCAAGGAUGAGGUGAGUUAAAAUCCAUUUAUUGUAUUUACUAGAACACAUUGAUAAUUUUCUUGACUUUUAAGCAUUUAUUUAACAGAAGAGACAACAUAAAUGUGACAAACAAUUAAACUAGAUUCCCAUACUGCAAUGUCUGUAAUUAUUUUUAUUUAUUCCAGCUUGAGCCUGUCUACAAAAUCAAGUAUUCUAACUUCCUCAGACUGAAUGUCCUAAGAUUCAGGUAAAUACAGUAUAUUGCAAUAUGAAUUAUUUUAUGAAUGCUCUGUGUGUGUGUGUGUGUGUGUGUGUGUGUGUGUGUGUGUGUGUGUGUGUGUGUGUGUGUGUGUGUGUGUGUGUGUGUGUGUCUGUGUCUGUGUGUGUGUGUGUGCGCGAGUGGUCCUGGUGUUCCCUUAUUGUGGGAACCAAAUGUCCCCACAAGGAUAAUAAUACCAGUAAAUUUUGACAUUUUUUUGGUCCCCAUGAGAAAACAAACUUAAAUCAUACAGAAUUAUCUUUUAAAAAAAUCUAAAAUAGCAGAAAGUCUUGUGUGAGGGUUAAUGGUAGGGUUAGGGUAAGGGGAUAGAAAAUACUGUUUGUACAGUAUAAGAAUCAUUACACCUAUGGAAUGUCCUCAAAACAUGGAAACAUGUGUAUGUUCCUACUUAACAAUAUUUUAAAGGGGCCUCUGAAUUCUUGAUCCAGGCCUGGUUAGAGUUAGUUUAUAGUAUUUAAAACUAGCUGUAUUAAGCUGUCCUCAUUUAGAUAGUUAAGUAAGUGUGUGUGUGUGUGUGUGUGUGUGUGUGUGUGUGUGUGUGUGUGUGUGUGUGUGUGUGUGUGUGUGUGCGUGCGUGCGUGUGUGUGAGUAAAAGAGAGAGGGGAAAAAAGAAACUUGCAAUAAACAGAAUUUAUAAAGCUAAUAUUUAUUAAUUUCAACAUUUAUAUAUUCUAGAUCAGGGUCAAUCAUCACAUCAACACAACUAGCUUUCAGCUUCAACCAAACUAUCCCAUCUGUUCAAGAGAUUUCAAACACCCUCUUGGAAGCAGUGGGAACAGGGGAUGUCAAUCCAUUAAAGAUAAUCCCUGAAUCAAUUUCAGUCAAUGGUUCAGCUACAACUGUUGCUCCUGCAACAACUACAACAACCACCACAGCAACUACAGUUUCAGGCGGAUUAAAGAUUGAAUCCAGUCUGUUCCAAGCAAUAUGCCUCAUUAUUAUGUCUAAAAUAUUAAGCUUUUUCCUAUAGAUCCCUUAAACAUAUCAACCAAACAUGAGAGUUCAACAAGACACACUGUAACAAAUUAAUUAAACACAAAAUGUAUUUAUUAUUAUUAUUAUUAAAUGUAUAGUAUUUCUCAUUGUAGCACAUUCUCAAAUACUAGUAUUGAGCAACAUAAAGAUAACUUUGAUAAUGCAUUUUUGCUGAAGAAUAUAACAGUAGAUAUCUGUUUAACAGCAGGCUGUUUUCUGGGAGGGAGAAGUAGAUCUUUUUCCUUAUGUAUUUCCUUUAAAUGUAAACAUUGUGAAUGUUGUUUAACUGUUUUGAGGUUAAUACUGUUUAAACUACUUAUUUUUGUUUGUCUAAGUUCUAACAUUGUAAUAUGUAAUAUUUUAAUUAAAUAAAAAUAUUUAUUAAAUGAUGUAGUCCAAAAUAUUUUGCUUUCAUAAAAAAAAGACUACAAUACAAC
ensembl:lncRNA